AUCCUUCUGGUUCAGAAAGACGAUUAAUGGGGUUUUCACACGCAUGCGUGAGCUGUGCUGCCCAAUAUGCUUGUUACAGAUUGGCACAUUACUUCAAACC